rnacentral:lncRNA from 1 species
AGAGAUUAGUGAUGAAUGGGAUCCAAUUGCAUUGAAUUAUACAUCCGGCACGACGUCGGAGCCUAAAGGAGUUGUGUACAGCCACAAGGGGGCUUAUUUAAGCACUUUGAGCCUAAUUUUAGGCUGGGAAAUGAAGAGUGAACCUGUCUAUUUAUGGUCACUUCCUAUGUNGGGGGCUUAUUUAAGCACUUUGAGCCUAAUUUUAGGCUGGGAAAUGAAGAGUGAACCUGUCUAUUUAUGGUCACUUCCUAUGUUCCACUGCAAUGGAUGGACAUUCACUUGGGGUGUCGCCGCCCGGGGAGGGACCAACGUUUGCAUACGCAACACGACAGCCGAAGAAAUGUACAAAAAUAUAGAUUUACACAAAGUGAC